rnacentral:lncRNA from 1 species
UUUCCCACGUUCCUCUGCUCCAUAAGGACACUACUUAAACAUAACAACAAAGAGAGUCACACACAAAAAUGAUUUCUAGGGACUAGACCAUGGCUGGGUGGAAGGGAAUGAUCCAAAUCAUUGUAGUUCUUGUACUCGGUUCAUAAUCAUCAGCUCCCUGCCCGGGGUCCCAGGGCCCAUUUCUGAGAGGAUGAGCAUCAGUAGCCAUGGUGCUGGGAAGUGGGUGGGAAGCUGUUAAUGUUUGAUCACUGCUAAUGCACAUUUCGCCCACUGUUCUCUCCCCUGCAGUCUGAGUACCACUAUGAGUACACGGCGUGUGACAGCACGGGUUCCAGGUGGAGGGUCGCCGUGCCGCAUACCCCGGGCCUGUGCACCAGCCUGCCUGACCCCAUCAAGGGCACCGAGUGCUCCUUCUCCUGCAACGCCGGGGAGUUUCUGGAUAUGAAGGACCAGUCAUGUAAGCCAUGCGCUGAGGGCCGCUACUCCCUCGGCACAGGCAUUCGGUUUGAUGAGUGGGAUGAGCUGCCCCAUGGCUUU